rnacentral:tRNA from 2 species
GCGGGUGUAGUGUAGCGGUCAGCACAGGGGCUUCCCAAGCCUCUAACCCGGGUUCAAAUCCCGGCACCCGCA